rnacentral:lncRNA from 1 species
UGCCAUUUACCAGCAGAUGGAAUUUUACGAACAUUCUUCUCACUUGUGGACAAUUCCAUCCACCUCUCUGGUAUCUGAGCCAACCUUCCUACCCUUACUUUCCUACCCUUACUUUUUGAACUCGUUCUUCCGAGAAAGAAAUCUGUCCUGCGUAAAGAUGCUGACAUUCCCAAAGUCCGACCUCAGCACUUCUCAUCAAACCCUGAUCCAAACUAGAAAAACCCAAUGAAGUUAGCCAAGGUAAGGAUAAAAUCG